rnacentral:lncRNA from 1 species
CCGAGUGCUACGUCAUAAGCACAUUGGGAAUGUAAAUAAUUGUAACCAUAUACAUAUAAAAUGACAGCAAUGGAAUCCCAAUCCCCCGCUUUUAUUUGUAAAGUCUCUACUCCUCGAUGAUCGAAGCCCAAAGACCUAUGAACCACGUCAUGUUUAACUAGCCAAUUAGAUAACCAACCCUGCUGCAUUGUCUUGAUCUCUCCCCCUUUGUAUAAAUAUUUCACAUUUCAAAUGCAAGUUUGAAAGAUUGUACUGCUCUACAAAAUAAAUAAAAAGAAAGGCCCUUUUUCGAAAAAAUUAGGAUUUUUAUACACAUUAAAAUGCUAUUUUCGUUCUGAAUUAUUACCUCUUCUCUUUCAUUAUUAUGAAAUUCUAUUGCCAUUAGAAUAUUGAUUGAUAGACAGUUAAUAAAAAGAAAACUCUAAUAGAAAAUGAAACGGUCGACCUAGAUAUAGACGGUCGACCUAGACAUAGACGGUCGACCCAGGUGGAUAUACCCUAUAAAAUAUAGGACGUAGCAAUGCCAUUACAAAAGUAAUUAGCAUUUUUGGCAUUAACAUAAAUUUAGGACUAGUAAUUAGUCCAAAAAAUACUACUAAUUCUGCAACAAAACCGCUCAUUCCCGGCAAGGCAAGAGAAGCCAUUGAAAAGCUACUAAACAUGGUAAAAUUUUUUGGCAUUGGGAUAGAUAUUCCCUCCCAGUUCUUCGAGAUAAACAAGACGCAUUCUAUCACAAGCCGUUCCCGCCAAGAAAAAAAGUGUAGCACCGAUAAAUCCAUGAGAUAAUAUUUGUAAAAUAGCUCCAUUUAGUCCAAUGUUGGUUAUGGAACCAAUUCCUAUAAUUAUGAAACCCAUGUGAGAUACGGAGGAGUAGGCUAUUCUUUUUUUGAAAUUUCGUUGACCAAGAGAAGUUGAAGCUGCAUAGAUUAUUUGCACCGCUCCUAUUAUUACCAACCAAGGGGAAAAUAGAUAAUGAGCAUGCGGUAACAAUUCCAUAUUGACCUGAAUCAAUCCGUAUGCUCCCAUCUUUAAUAGAAUUCCGGCUAAAAGCAUACAUGUACUGUAAUGCGCUUCCCCAUGGGUAUCUGGUAACCACGUAUGUAAAGGUAUAAUCGGCAAUUUGACAGCAUAAGCAAUAAGGAAGCCAAAAUAUAGUUUCAUACAGAGGAAAAAGUUCUCUAUUGAUGCAAACGCUGUACCUAGAGGAUAGGGAUAGAGGAAGAGGGAAAAUCGAAAUGAAAUAAAUAAAGAAUAAAGCCAAAAAAAUAAGUCGAAGAUAGAAGAGCCCAGAUUCAAAAUGAAGAAAUGGAAACUCGAAAAGGAUCCUUCUGAUUCUCAAAGAAUGAGGGGCAAGGGGAUUGAUACCGAGAAAGAUUUCUUCUUAUUAUAAGACGUGAUUUGAUCCGCAUAUGGAUGUUAAUAGUAAGCAAGAAGAUUGUUUAUGAAGAAACAACAAGAAAAAUUCAUAUUCUGAUACAUAAGAGUUACAUAGGAAUCGAAAUAGUCUUUUAUUUUCUUUUUUCAAAAGAAAAAUGGAUUUCAUUGAAGUAAUAAAACUAUUCCAAUUCGAAUAAUAGUGGAGAAAGAAUCGCAAUAAAUGUAAAGAGGGAACAUCUUGAAUCCGGUAUUCAAGGAGUUGAACCAGGAUUUCUAAAUGGAUAGGAUAGGGUAUUUUUAUAUGUGAAAGAAGUGUAUCCACGGCUUCUUGUACCAAUUUUUCCUGGCACAUUACUAAAUCUGCUGGUGCUAAUUCACUUAUUUUUAAUAGAUAGGCAAGGUUGUUGUUCCGACGGAUAACUCUCUUAUAAAGUUCAUUAAUAUCUGAAGUCACUACUUUAUCCCCAGAUCUAUAAACAAUGGGUCUCAAUUCGGGAGGAAGAACCGGUAAUAAGCACAAAACCAUCCAUUCUGGUUCUACAUUUGUUUGAAUAAAAUGUUUCGCCAAUUGCAUGCGUCUAAUCAAAAAAACUUUUCUUAUUCGUCUUUUUCUAUCUUCCCAUUCAUCUCCACUAUACCCAAUGUCUUUUCUGCACAAAAGAACCCCUCCUAAUUCACUAAUUUGUAUCCUAAUUCACUAAUUUGUAGGAAGAUACUGAACUUUUGGAUUCCUAAUUCACUAAUUUGUAGGAAGAUACUGAACUUUUGGAUUUGAAAAAAGUUUCAGAAGAUAUAUCUAAAGUAGAUGGUGAUUGAUAGAGCAAUUCUUGUUCGUAAGUUCCAGUGUGAGUACUGCGCCGAACAUAAUAACGGCUGUUAAUUAGUAAGACAUGCUGUGUAAGUUUCUUACAAGGGUCAUUUAUUUACCGCUGGAGGUAAUAUCGACACUUUUAGGCAGUGCACACAAGUAAAGCCACUCGCAAGUGCUGUAUAUAUAUACGUACUUUUAGGAAGGAAAACGUAGCAGCAUAAACAGUACACGGACCAAGUUACCGUAUCACACGUACAAAUUCACCCCACAAGUACAGGAAACUGUCCCUGUCCCUGUCCCUGUCACAUGAUCAAAGGGUAGGGACACUUAUUCAUGGGUUUAUCUUAUUAUCUAUGGAACGCUGAAGAGUACGGCUUUGACGCGCCAGCACAGCACAGCACAGCCACGUAUAGGCGCCGCUCAGUGCUGUCCGGGCAGCUUCUCCUUGAUCUUGUCCAUAAUGCCUUUCUUCUCGCCGGUGCCCUCGGUGCCGGUGGCGUAGGCGCCGCCGGUGUGUCCCUGCUGCCCGUAGGCGCUGCCGGUGUGUCCCUGCUGCCCAUAGGCGCCGCCGGUCGUCGCCGUGGCGUGCUGGUCGUCCUUGUGGCCUCCGGGCAGCUUCUCUUUGAUCUUCUCCUUGAUUCCCUUCUUCCUCCUUCCGCCCAUGCCGUCGUCCUCCGACUUAAACACGAAACCCACGGAUUAAAUUAAUUGAUUAUUACUAAGCCUAACUCAUGUAUUAUUAUAUAUAGGACGAAGCAGCGCGCACACAAAAGAAAGAAGUAUCCAGAGUCGUAAUUACCGAGCUGGAGCUGGAGCUGCCGGAGCGAUGCAGGAUGCCGCCGGUCUUGUGCUCCUCCCUCGCAGGCUGGAACUGCCCGCCACCCAUGCCAGCGCCGCCGUGCUCACCCAGCUGGCCCAUGCCGCCGGUGGUUCCCGUGCCGUGCCUCAUGCCGCCGGUGCCGUGCUCGACGCCGCCGACUGGGUUGCCGUACUGGUCGACAUGGCCCGUGGCGCCGUGGCCGCGCUGCCCCUGCUGACCGUACUCCAUGAUGCUUGCACGGCUUGGUGGUUUGUGGUUUCUCCUAAACGAGUCUUCGUGCUUGUGUGCUCGAUCGUGUUCUCGAUGUGGCUCGCCGGUGGUGAAGCAGGUGACGGUCGAUGCCGCCAUUUAUAGGCAGCAGAAGUGCAGAACGGCGAAAGGAUUAGGAUCUGGGCGCGCCACGGCAGGGGUGUACGUGGGCAUGCAUGAGUGGAUUGGGCGGCCAGUGAGGGAACAGCACGUACACGUACGCCGGCGGGACGUGUGCAGUCGCUGGUGCCGUGCGUCGGUGGCCCGGCCCGCCACGUCUCGGUUCUUCUCGAAAGUUGGGUACGCGGAUUUUACCGGUGCUCAUCCAUUAUUCAAUGCAGGCGGUCGGUCAGGCUGAAUUUAGGCCCAGUACACCCAAGUGUAGGCGCAGCAGAAAAGUCCAGAGCGAACUGCAUAACAUUUUAAAAUACAUUAAAAUUCAUAAAAUAUAUUAAAAGAAGAGAAAACAUUAAAAAGUAAAAUGAUAAUUCGAUAAUGCCAACUAUUUUAAAACAGGAGGGUAUAGUAUCUCAGGAGUACCAAUUAGGACAUGUUUGUUAAUGCAAUUUUAAAAUACUAUAGUUUUGAAAUAUUAUAGUUUAUAAUUAUAUAUAAUAUAAAUAUUACAGUACUAUCUUAUCACAGUAAAAUCAAAGUAUUGCUUAGAAUUAAGAUUUGUUUGGCUCCAUUAAAAAACCAAAAUAUAUGUAAGAGAAAAGAAAAAAAACUAAGGUUCUAAGUGUAGUUUCUACAACUCUAAAAAUAGUAUAGUUUUGAAUAAAUCAUAGUAUCUGAAACUAUAUUUUACAUAUACCGGCCAAACAUCUUGUUGCCAUCAAUAUCACAGUAUCGUUAAAUAUUGUAGUAUUGAUUCAAAACUAUAAAAAUAAUACACUGACCCUUAGCAUGCACGCAUUGCAUAUGCAUGCAUAUAUGACCGUUCUAGCUGCUCCUUCUGUUACAAGGCAAAUAUAUAUCUCACUUCUUAAAAGACAAACCUUUUAAAUUUAUAAUUAAAAAUACAGAAAAAUAUUAAUAUUUGUAUCUGUAAAUAAAUUUUACAGAAAUAAAUUCUACGCUCAAUCUAAUAAAACUUAUUAAACUAAUGAUUAAAUUAUAUAUGUAUUUUAUGUGAACACUCAAUCUAUACUAUUAAGAAUUUAAUGUAGGCACAUGUGGACCCCACGCCUCCAGCCCCCACGCACCAGCUAUUGUGCUACCCAGCACCUGAUCCUGCCGCGCAAAAAUAGUGCAAAGCGAGUACUUUAGAACUGACCACCAGACCACAUGUACCUUAGUUUUUAAAAAUAAACAAUAAUUAUAUUUUAAUAAAUUUCGCAAUACCUAUUUAUAUGAUAUAUAACAACUCGUAGCAAAGCACGAGCCACAACUAUCUAGUAAGCUUAGAGUAUAUAUUCAAGAGCUCCCAAAAAAUAACUUCUAAAAACAUGUUUUUAAUAGCCUCCUGUAAUUUAUUAGGAGAUGAUUUUGACCUUGUCUUCAGCAGUUCUCCUAAAAAUAGGCGUAAAAUAUUUUAAACUGGGUAAUAGAUGAGCCUCGAACCUAUAUUGAUAUAUUUUUAUCACCGAGGAAUUGUUUACCUUGUGCAGCUUGCCUGAGACCUAACGUGCGCCGCCACCGAGUCUACACUACCAUGUAUGACUUGUCUCGAUUUGUGUACCAGCACGAUGUCAAGGGUGAUGGCAGAGGCGUAGAGCAUGUUGGGCACCUUGCCCAAGCCAGGGACGCCCUCCGUCGGCCGCUUGGUCGCCAGCGCUAGCGCCGGCGCCGCGGCGGCACCGCCACAGUAAUGAACAACUUCAUGUUGAUCGAGCAUCGCAAGUCUCGGCGGCACCGCCACAGUAAUGAACAACUUCAUGUUGAUCGAGCAUCGCAAGUCUCACGCAAUACAUAUUGGACACCUUGCUUUAUUCCACCUGUUUGACGUAAUGCAGCCAUGGGGUAUUGCUUUUUACAUAUGAAUUGAGGCUCUUUGUUGCAACAGGAAAUCGAUUCGUCCUCUGUGAUGAAGGUGAGUCGAUGAUCAGUUUCUUUUGGGAGGGUCACAAAUUUUACAUGAAUAUGUCAACAAACCGAAACAUGGUUCUAUCCCUGAUCAUCAAGUCGUUCGUCGUAAGAGAGAAUUAGGACACUGUAGAUUAUAUGAGGAUUACUUCUCAGAUGAUCCAACAUACAUACCAUAAUUCUUUAGACGGAGGUUUGUUAUUCAUUCAACUCAUUUUUUUAUUUAGUAGUGCCAUAUCUGAUAUAAUACCAAACUAGGUGAGUGCCCGUGCGUUGCGACGGGAGUAAAAAAGUU